CUUAGCUAAAUAUCAAAAUGGGAAAGACAUUAGAAAUUCUUAGCUGCAAACGAAGAGUGUCAAGACAGUAAACCCAUCAAGCAGAGCUUGUCCUCCCCAGCACAGUCUCCUCGGGGGCAGGGACCGCGGAACUCCUGGAAUAGGAAGGCGAGUCUUUUUAUGCCUUUGGGGAUGUGCCCGGACUUCCUGUGGGCCUUUUCCUCUGACGUGGGCCAAGCAAGGAGGAUGCUUUUCGUGUCUUUGGAGGCCCUCAACCGCUUAAUGGAGUUUGAUUCGCUACUGUUUACUCAAGGUCAGACGCCCUCAGGAAAACGGUCAACAAUACAGAUGACGGACAAAUCGACACUACACCUGGGGGAGUUAUUCUGUUUUUCACUCUUUCCCCACUUUUGGAUUUUGAUCUAUGUUUGGGAGAGAGACCCCACACGGGCACCGAGAGGCUCAGCAUCUAGAAGGAUAAGCAGACAUGAGAGCCAAGAUCCAGCGUGGAAGCUGUGACUCCAGGGCCCAUGGAGAGGACCCAGCUCUUCCCCGGUGGGGGAGACAGCAACCGGGGGUCACUGACCUCCCUUUACACCCUCAGAAGAUGCCUGCUUACCCUCGGCUGCUUGUUGGCCUCACUCUGUCAACAGGCCCCAGAAGGGACUAAAUCCACUCCCACUCCUUGAUGCGUGUGGGGAUUGGGUGCUCUUUUGACAAAAGCAGCAGGAAGGGCUGGUGUGCAAGGGUCUUACCUUUAAAGAAGAUGUAAUUCACCAUAAUCAUGACCUCCGUGCUAUCCAGGU